rnacentral:rRNA from 1 species
GAUGAACGCUGGCGGCGUGCCUAAUACAUGCAAGUCGAGCGAACAGACGAGGAGCUUGCUCCUCUGACGUUAGCGGCGGACGGGUGAGUAACACGUGGAUAACCUACCUAUAAGACUGGGAUAACUUGGGGAAACCGGAGCUAAUACCGGAUAAUAUAUUGAACCGCAUGGUUCAAUAGUGAAAGACGGUUUUGCUGUCACUUAUAGAUGGAUCCGCGCCGCAUUAGCUAGUUGGUAAGGUAACGGCUUACCAAGGCAACGAUGCGUAGCCGACCUGAGAGGGUGAUCGGCCACACUGGAACUGAGACACGGUCCAGACUCCUACGGGAGGCAGCAGUAGGGAAUCUUCCGCAAUGGGCGAAAGCCUGACGGAGCAACGCCGCGUGAGUGAUGAAGGUCUUCGGAUCGUAAAACUCUGUUAUUAGGGAAGAACAAAUGUGUAAGUAACUAUGCACGUCUUGACGGUACCUAAUCAGAAAGCCACGGCUAACUACGUG